rnacentral:rRNA from 1 species
UACAGAGGUGGCAAGCGUUGUUCGGAAUUACUGGGCGUAAAGGGCGCGUAGGUGGCCUUCUUAGUCAGACGUGAAAUCCCCGGGCUUAACUCGGGAACUGCGUCUGAUACUGGAAGGCUGGAGUUCGGGAGAGGAAUGUGGAAUUCCAGGUGUAGCGGUGAAAUGCGUAGAGAUCGGGAGGAACACCUGCGGCGAAGGCGGGUUGCUGGGCUGACACUGACGCUGAAGCGCGAAAGCUAGGGUAGCAAACGGG